rnacentral:rRNA from 1 species
GAUGAACGCUGGCGGCGUGCCUAAUACAUGCAAGUCGAGCGAAUGGAUUAAGAUCUUGCUCUUAUGAAGUUAGCGGCGGACGUGUGAGUAACACGUGGGUAACCUUCCCAUACGACUGGGAUAACUCCGGGAAACCGGUGCUAAUACCGGAUAACAUUUUGAACCUCCUGGUUCGAAAUUGAAAGGCGGCUUCGGCUGUCACUUAUGGAUAUACCCUCGUCGAAUUAGCUAGUUGGUGAGGUAACGGCUAAACAAGGCAACGAUGCGUAGCCGACCUGAGAGGGUGAUCGGCAACACUGGGACUGAGAAAAGGCCCAGACUCCUACGGGAGGCAGAAGUAGGGAAUCUUCAGAAAUGGACGAAAGUCUGACGGAGCAACGCCGCGUGAGUGAUGAAGGCUUUCGGGUCGUAAAACUCUGUUGUUAGGGAAGAACAAGUGCUAGUUGAAUAAGCUGGCACCUUGACGGUACCUAACCAGAAAGCCACGGCUAACUACGUGCCAGCCGCCGCAGUAA